GACGAACGCUGGCGGCGUGCUUAACACAUGCAAGUCGAACGAUGAACCCGGAGCUUGCUCUGGGGGAUUAGUGGCGAACGGGUGAGUAACACGUGAGUAACCUGCCCUGGACUCUGGGAUAAGCGUUGGAAACGACGUCUAAUACCGGAUAGGACCUUGGAUCGCAUGAUCUGGGGUGGAAAGUUUUUUCGGUCUGGGAUGGACUCGCGGCCUAUCAGCUUGUUGGUGAGGUAAUGGCUCACCAAGGCGUCGACGGGUAGCCGGCCUGAGAGGGUGACCGGCCACACUGGGACUGAGACACGGCCCAGACUCCUACGGGAGGCAGCAGUGGGGAAUAUUGCACAAUGGGCGAAAGCCUGAUGCAGCAACGCCGCGUGCGGGAUGACGGCCUUCGGGUUGUAAACCGCUUUUAGUAGGGAAGAAGGGCUUCGGCUUGACGGUACCUGCAGAAGAAGGACCGGCUAACUACGUG
rnacentral:rRNA from 1 species